rnacentral:rRNA from 1 species
UACAGGGGGUGCAAACGUUGCUCGGAAUUAUUGGGCGUAAAGCGCGCGUAGGCGGCUACUUAAGUCGGAUGUGAAAGCCCUUGGCUCAACUGAGGAAGUGCACCCGAAACUGAGUGGCUUGAGUACCAAAGAGGGUCGCGGAAUUCCCGGUGUAGAGGUGAAAUUCGUAGAUAUCGGGAGGAACACCGGUGGCGAAGGCGGCGACCUGGGUGGAUACUGACGCUGAGGCGAGAAAGCGUGGGGAGCAAACAGG